UGGCGGACGGGUGAGUAAUGUCUGGGAAACUGCCUGAUGGAGGGGGAUAACUACUGGAAACGGUAGCUAAUACCGCAUAACGUCGCAAGACCAAAGAGGGGGACCUUCGGGCCUCUUGCCAUCGGAUGUGCCCAGAUGGGAUUAGCUAGUAGGUGGGGUAACGGCUCACCUAGGCGACGAUCCCUAGCUGGUCUGAGAGGAUGACCAGCCACGCUGGAACUGAGACACGGUCCAG
rnacentral:rRNA from 1 species